rnacentral:tRNA from 1 species
UCCCUGGUGGUCGAGUGGCAAAGACUCGGUGCUCCCAAUGCAGGGCAUCCGGGUUCAAUUCCUGGUCAGGGAA